UACGGAGGGUGCAAGCGUUGUCCGGAUUUAUUGGGUUUAAAGGGUGCGUAGGCGGUUCUUUAAGUCCGGGGUGAAAGCCCACUGCUCAACAGUGGAACUGCCCUGGAAACUGGCGAACUUGAGUACAGACGAGGGUGGCGGAAUGGAUACUGUAGCGGUGAAAUGCAUAGAUAGUAUCCAGAACACCGAUUGCGAAGGCAGCUGCCUAGACUGUAACUGACGCUGAGGCACGAAAGCGUGGGGAGCGAACAGG
rnacentral:rRNA from 1 species